rnacentral:rRNA from 1 species
UACGUAGGGUGCGAGCGUUAAUCGGAAUUACUGGGCGUAAAGUGUGCGCAGGCGGCCGCGCAAGUCGAGUGUGAAAGCCCCGGGCUUAACUUGGGAAUUGCGCUCGAAACUACGUGGCUGGAGUGUGGCAGAGGAAGGUGGAAUUCCACGUGUAGCGGUGAAAUGCGUAGAUAUCAGGAGGAAUACCAGUGGCGAAGGCGGCUUUCUGGGCCUACCCUGACGCUGAGGAGCGAAAGCGUGGGGAGCAAACCGG